CACCUGAUAGCACAUGGUGUGCACCUGUCUUUCCUUCGUAAUUGAUCUCUAUAGGCAGGAGGCCCCUGUUCGAUUCGGGGUCAGGUGA